GACGAACGCUGGCGGCGUGCUUAACACAUGCAAGUCGAACGGAAAGGCCCUGCUUGCAGGGUACUCGAGUGGCGAACGGGUGAGUAACACGUGGGUGAUCUGCCCUGCACUUCGGGAUAAGCCUGGGAAACUGGGUCUAAUACCGGAUAGGAGCCAUUUUUAGUGUGAUGGUUGGAAAGUUUUUUCGGUGUAGGAUGAGCUCGCGGCCUAUCAGCUUGUUGGUGGGGUAAUGGCCUAUCAAGGCGGCGACGAGUAGCCGGCCUGAGAGGGUGGACGGCCACAUUGGGACUGAGAUACGGCCCAGACUCCUACGGGAGGCAGCAGUGGGGAAUAUUGCACAAGGGGCGCAAGCCUGAUGCAGCGACGCCGCGUGGGGGAUGACGGCCUUCGGGUUGUAAACUCCUUUCGCUAGGGACGAAGCUUUUUGUGACGGUACCUAGAGAAGAAGCACCGGCUAACUACGUG
rnacentral:rRNA from 1 species